rnacentral:misc_RNA from 1 species
UCUCUCUCUCAAUGUUAACUGCUGUUUCAAGGAUGAAAUAUCUAAUAUCCCCACCAUUUGCACCCAUUUCCAAGGCCGCACCUUCUUUCCAUUUCUUCUGUUUACUCUCUAAAUCCAAAUUUCUUUCAUAUCCCAUUACUCUCUCAAAUCCCAUUUCUCUACCCCUUAAACCUCCGGCUAUGCUUUCAAUUUUUCCAAUUCAGAAUCGAUGUAUCCAUUCCAAUUCCUCACCCUCUCCCUCCUCUGGCGAGAUUCACGUUAUAGUUGGCCCCAUGUUCGCAGGAAAAACUACCACGCUUCUUCGUCGUAUCCAGUCUGAAGGCAGCAAUGGCAGGUUGAAAAUAUGCUUCAGUUGGAUAAAACGUUAAAAGGUCUUUGUUUUUCGGGGAGAAUGAGUGAAGCUUUGAGGCUAUUAUGGUGUACGGGAUUCAAAGUCGAUCAUGGUACCUAUGCUCUUCUGUUGCAAGAAUGCAUAUUCAGAAAACAGUAUAGGAAGGGGAAAAGAAUCCAUGCGCAAAUGGUUGUUGUGGGGUAUGUUGCCAAUGAAUAUCUGAAUACUAAGUUGUUGAUUUUGUAUGCAAAGUCUGGGGAUUUAAAGGCUGCAAACGUGUUGUUUGAUAUGGUGGUGGGGAAAAGCUUGAUUUCUUGGAAUGCAAUAAUCGCUGGAUAUGUGCAAAAGGGACAAGAAGAAAUAGGUCUUACAUUUUAUUACAAAAUGAGAGAAAAUGGUUUGACACCAGACCAGUAUACAUUUGCAUCAGUUUUUAGAGCUUGUGCUACUUUAGCGACACUGGAGCAUGGUAAGAAAGCCCAUGGUGUCAUGAUAAAGUGUCGUCUAAGAGAAAAUGUAGUAGUUAACAGUGCCCUCAUAGAUAUGUACUUCAAAUGCAGCAAUCUCUCUGAUGGGCAUAAGGUCUUUAGUAAAUCAUUAAACAGGAAUGUUGUUACCUGGACUUCAUUAAUAUCUGGGUAUGGCCAGCAUGGAAGAGUUGCAGAGGUUUUAGAAUCAUUUCAUAGGAUGAAAGAUGAAGGUUUCGGACCAAAUUAUGUUACUUUUCUUGCAGUUCUUUCCGCUUGUAGUCAUGGAGGUUUGAUUGAUGAAGCUUGGGAUUAUUUCUCAUCAAUGAAAAGAGAUUAUGGAAUCCAGCCCAGAGGGCAACACUAUGCAGCAAUGGUCGAUCUUUUAGGUCGUGCUGGCAGGUUACAAGAGGCUUAUGAGUUUGUACUGGAGGCACCUUGCCAGGAACACUCAGUUGUAUGGGGUGCUUUGCUUGGGGCUUGUAGGAUUCAUGGAGACAUGGACCUGGUAAAUUGUGCAGCUAAGAAGUACUUUGAAUUGGAUCCAGAAAACGCUGGAAAAUAUGUGGUCUUGUCUAAUACAUAUGCCGCAUUUGGGUUCUGGGAUGAUGUUGCAAAGGUUAGGAGUAUGAUGAGAGAUUCAGGAAUAUUGAAGGAACCUGCUUAUAGCAGGAUUGAAGUUCAAGGGGAGGUCCACUGCUUUCUAAUGGGUGAUAAAUCUCAUAGAAAAUAUGAGGAGAUAUGUAGGACAAUUAUCAAAAUGAUGCGCAUUUUAAGAGAUGCUGGCUAUGUUCCUGAUAUAAGUGACCAUUAAUUCAUGAAGAAGACUGAUAUGCUUUACAUUUUAGAUCCAAAAUCUCACCUCUCUUAUUGGCUGAGCUUCCCAUUGCAUUUCUGGGCUCAGGUUGUUAACUUGAGAAAUGUAGCAGUUAUAAAAUCAAACAGGGAUACAAGAUAUGGUUUGGAUUCAAUAGUGACACAUGAUGGGGUGAAACUGCCAUGUAUGGCACUGCCUAAUUUGUCAUCAUUUAGACAAAAAUUUGGCGCUGAUGCAUAUGAGCAGCUGGAUGUGAUUGGUAUUGACGAAGCACAAUUUUUUGAAGACCUAUAUGAUUUCUGCCGCGAAGCUGCUGAUCAUGAUGGAAAAACUUUAAUAGUUGCUGGUCUAGAUGGUAACUAUUUGAGGAGGAGUUUUGGUUCUGUACUUGAUAUAAUUCCUCUUGCUGAUUCGGUAACUAAGUUAACUGCACGGUGUGAACUUUGUGGAAAACGUGCUUUCUUUACCUUCAGAAAGACAGAGGAGACAAGGAUAGAACUUAUUGGUGGGGCUGAUGUCUACAUGCCUGUAUGUCGACACCACUAUGUCAGUGGACAAGCGGUUGUUGAAGCUGCUAGAAUUUUACUAGAGUCUCAGAAGGCUGAAUGUGGCUCUCAUAUGUAGUGCUUAUUCUUCUGAAAUGCGAUCACAGAAUGUUAAGCGGCGUUAAAAUUGCAUGUAUAUACCAUCGUAAGAUUGUAUUGCAUUUGAUUGCUUUGCAAGAUGCAUGGAAGGGAAGAAUCAGAGAGAGCAUCAAUCGUCUGAUUUCAAACUACACCUUAGAAAAUAGAAAGUGUGUUUACUUUGGAUUAAUCCAUGAUUACUGUUACACGUUUGUUGAGCGUGUAACUUAUUUCAGGGACUAGUAAAUGAUACCCUGUGAGAUGAAAAGAAUACAGUUCAUACAAGCCUCCGUUGAUAUACCUGGGCUGGAUAACAUCAAAUAAAACUUCAUGCAAAUCUCCAAACGUUACUGUUAUUUCAAUCAUAAAUAAAUGCUCUUCCUCCGUUGUACUGCUCUGGUGCCAUGGCACUUCUUUUGGAACAAACUUGGCAUCGAGUUUAAUUGUUCUAAUUGAGAAAGAACUUACAUCAUCAAAAAAUAGAUUACGG